CAGUAGCCACGGGAAUACGAAGGGUGCAAGCGUUACUCGGAAUUACUGGGCGUAAAGCGUGUGUAGGUGGUUGUUUAAGUCUGUCGUGAAAGCCCUGGGCUCAACCUGGGAAUUGCGAUGGAUACUGGGCGACUAGAGUGCGGUAGAGGAUAGUGGAAUUUCCGGUGUAGCAGUGAAAUGCGUAGAGAUCGGAAGGAACAUCUGUGGCGAAGGCGACUAUCUGGGCCAACACUGACACUGAGACACGAAAGCGUGGGGAGCAAACAGGAUUAGAUACCCCGGUAGUCCCUGUCUCUUAUAC
rnacentral:rRNA from 1 species